GUUUGAUCCUGGCUCAGAGUGAACGCUGGCGGCAGGCCUAAUACAUGCAAGUCGAACGGCAGCACAGCAGAGCUUGCUCUGUGGGUGGCGAGUGGCGGACGGGUGAGGAAUACGUGGGAAUCUGCCCAGUCGUGGGGGAUAACGUAGGGAAACUUACGCUAAUACCGCAUGCGCCCUUCGGGGGAAAGCCGGGGACCUUCGGGCCUGGCGCGAUUGGAUGAGCCCACGUCGGAUUAGCUAGUUGGCGGGGUAAAGGCCCACCAAGGCGACGAUCCGUAGCUAGGUACUGAGAGGAUGAUCAGCCACACUGGAACUGAGACACGGUCCAGACUCCUACGGGAGGCAGCAGUAGGGAAUAUUGGACAAUGGGCGCAAGCCUGAUCCAGCCAUGCCGCGUGAGUGAAGAAGGCCCUCGGGUUGUAAAGCUCUUUUGCCGGUAAAAGAAAA
rnacentral:rRNA from 1 species